AGUCAUCGAACGGCGGGGUAUUCGCUUCGUCAUUCGACCCGAAGAGAGCCCGAGGCGGCGCGGCCGGCAGAAAAUGAUCGACCAUGUCGAUCCUGACGUCGCUCGGGGCCAGUGGACGUGGGAGCUGACCGCGGCGGGGCUCGAAUUCAGAGGUGGGCGGCCGCAGAAGUGAUCCUGCUCGACACCAAUGCGGUGAUCUGGCUGCAUCAGCGGGACCGCCGGACGAAACGGCUCGAGAAAAAUCUGACCUUGUACGCGUCGCCGGCCAGCCUCCUCGAGUUACAAAUCCUGGUCGAGGCGGGGCGUUUGCGCCUCCGGUCCGGGUUCCGGGUCGACCAGCUCGUCGGCGAUUCGCGGUUGCUCCUCGACGAUCCACCGGCGGCCGACUGGUUUUGCUCAAGCGGUCGACGUUGGCUGGACACGCGAUCCUUCGACCGACUGAUCGUGGCGCAUGCCGAGCUUCGCGGCUGGCGUCUCGCGACGGGCGAUUCGGAGCUCGUCACCAGGCUUGGCGAGCACCGGACUCUGGACCUUUCGUGAACCCGAGAGACGGAAAAGGGCCUGCAGGCCGCGCUCGUGCAACAGGCAUCAGAUUGUGCGUGUUGACACGGUUUGUUGCAGAACGGACAGCAAGGUUGUGAGAUGGUUGGGCACCGUGGGGUCUGAGGCGGUGCUGGCGCGGUUUGUAAUGAGAGUGCGCAAACCGCGAUCGUAGCCCAGAUAGAAAAACACUGCGGGCGUGCCAUACCGUCUCCUCGUGCAGGUCGAUCAGUAGUGUGGGGCUGUUGGCGCGAGUAUAGGAUGUCGAUGCGGAAUGGUUUGUAGCAGAUUGUGCGGCUUGCCUAGUGUCUUUUCAGAAUGCCGUUGUCAGCCGCAACCAGCGACCGCCGGAGUGUAGUGAUUUCAUAUAAAUAAAUUUACUGAUACGUACUUAUCAAUAGAAUUGUUGGGUGCACCCGAACUCGCCGAUCCAUGAGUGUCCCGCGUGUGGCGCGCAAACGUGUCAACAAUCACCUGCAUUUCCCAUGGGAACAUUGUUCAUGUCCUUUCAGAAGAUCCCGGCGCUGAGUUUGAUAGUGGUCGCAUUCUGCGUAGUGAGCUGUGGCGGACCCGAAUCAGGCACCCCGACUGCGCCAACUCCCACACCUUCCGCACCCGUGACUGUCACGUUGACGGCACCGAUUCAUGUCACUCCGGUCGAUGAUGCGCAAACCAACACGCUUCAACCCGAACUGGCAAUAGUCAACGCGACGUCCUCCCAAGGCGGGGCCAAGACGUAUGAAUUUCAAGUGUCGUCCGCGGCCGACUUCAUGGUGAUCGCAAUCACUGCUGAUAGUGUUCCAGAGGACGCCGAUGGCCAGACCGCUUGGGUGGUCUCGCCUCCGCUGCAGGGCACGACGCGGUACUGGUGGCGGGCUCGCGUUAAGCAAGGCUCGAACACCGGACCAUGGUCUACGCCGACGCGCUUCAGGUCCCGCAUCGAAGGAUUUAACAGGCCGGGGGAGCUGUUCGAUCCGCUCACGAACGGAUCGACGGUUGGAACGCUCAUCAACGCGACAUUGCUACCCGGCCAAGGUGUCAGACUGAAUUCGCUGGAGAGCCGGGUGACGUACACCCUGCCUCAGAAUCUCCCUGAAGGAGAGUUUUCCGUGCUGGCAACGGGACUGAACAGCAACUCUGCGGGUGACAGCACGAAGCUCUUCAGUAUGCAGCAGGGCUCGACGGAUAUGACGACCAACCCGUACCGGGCCACAAUUGAGAAACGCGAUCAUGGCACCGUGACGUUCCGCUUCAUUGCCGGAGACGUGAACGCGCGAGCCGACAGCACGCGCGAAGACUAUGUGUUCAACCCUAUGCUCCUGUACUUCUGGAAGUUCACCUGGGGAACGGCUUUGCACGGCUCGUCGUCCUCGAAGGUGGCGAGAAUGGCCGCGUGGUGUACAACCAGGGCGACAGUUACAGCGGCACGUAUCGGCCAGUCCCCCACAUUGCCCAUCUCGGAGCCCCUCCGGGCCGGGCCGGCAUCAACACGGCUUCAGUGCCCGGCGCGGUUAUCAGUAAUGUCUGGCUUGCCAGCAGACCGCGACCGUCGGGACUUGGCAGCGCAAUUGAUGCGCAAUAACCACCAGGAGCUACCGUGACCGCAAGUCAGGACGAAUGAGCUCUCCCCCGGUCUGCGCCUCGAUGAUGAGUUCUACCAAUCCACGUGCAUGCCGAGCUUGAUCAACCGGCCGCGCUGGAUGCCAUUGACCGCCCCAUAGCUGGGUCCGAGAAUAGACGAGCGCGCGAUGAUGGUUGCCGAGUUUGCAAGGUUAUAGAGGUCCAGACGCGGCUGGUACACCUUACCGCCACUCCUGAAGACCAUCCGGAAGCUCAUGUCGAGCUGAUUCAGAUCCGGCAGACGUGUCGUCCCACGCGGCUCGGUCGUGACGUUCGUGGUCCCUUGCGUCAACGCCACGGUAUUGCUGCCGACCGACACCUGCGUCAGCUCGGGAAAUCCUUUCUGGUGCUGGAACGUGCCGCUCAUCGAUAUGCCAGCGGCAGGUCGUACAGCCCCGAGAGGCGGAACGAAAACGGCGUAUCGUUCCCCACGAUUCCACGAGCGAAUUCCAUCGAAUUCGGGUUGUUCAGGUCGGUGUUGCCGACAUAGCCCGUGGUCUCGCCGAUGCUGACGCCGCCGGUCAUCAUCCAGCCAUCGCUCAUCCGCUUGUUGAGGGAAAUAUCCGUGCCGUUGUAGGUGCUGUCGAGUUCGGGUGCGUUUGUCCAGACCAAGUCCUGCCGCCCGCGCAAAGCGGGCGAUUGGUUGUAGACCGUCACAGGGACUCCGCUGCUGGCCUCUACCACGUUCAACGGAAUGUACGUGUCCAUCGGAACCGCGACGUUACGAGAAC
rnacentral:misc_RNA from 1 species